GACAGAGGGGGCAAGCGUUGCUCGGAAUUACUGGGCGUAAAGGGCGCGUAGGCGGGAUGGCAAGUCGGUCGUGAAAUCCCUCGGCUCAACCGAGGAACGUCGAUCGAUACUGCUGUUCUUGAGGAUUGCAGAGGAGACUGGAAUUCCCGGUGUAGCGGUGAAAUGUGUAGAGAUCGGGAGGAACACCAGUGGCGAAGGCGGCGACCUGGACAGAUAUUGACGCUGAGGUGCGAAAGCGUGGGGAGCAAACAGG
rnacentral:rRNA from 1 species